AAAAGGCAGCGCUGGGGGUGAGGAGCUCUGGUGAGCCCCUUCGAACCAGGGCUGAUGGGGGACCUCCACCAGGACCCCGGCCCUGCACGGACCCUCACAGUCAGGACAAGGGGGGCCAGAUGGGGGGCACAAGGCCCCACACCUCGAUGGCAUUGGGCGCACUCACUACCUGCUAAACCUUCCUGCUUCACUGCGUCAUCAUUUUAGGGUCUCAAAAGGCCCCAAAGAGGGCAGGAGGAAGCCAGGCAUGUCUUUUAUGAGGAAAUGGGAGGGAGUCAGCUCGGCGACCACCAAUGCCUACCUGGGCCGGUCAGUCAAUACACAAAACACACUAGGGGCCGGGCACAGUGCUCCCGCCUGGAAUCCCAGCACUUUGGGAGGCCAAGGCGGGUGGAUCACCUGAGGCCAGGAAGACCAGCCUGGCCAACAUGGCGAAACCCCAUCUCUACUAAAAAUAGAGAAAAAAAUUAGCCGUGCAUGACAGCAUGUGCCUGUAAUUCCAGCUACUCGGGAGGCUGAGGCAGGAGAAUCGUUUGAACCCAGGAGGCGGAGGUUGCAGUGACCCGAGAUAGUACCACUGCACUCCAGCCUGGGCGACAGAGCAAGACUCCACCUCAAAAAAACAACAAAAACAAACAAACAAACAAACACCAGAACAAAGCGCUCCAAGGACAGGCCGCUCUCCCGAUUACUAAACAGUCACAUUUAGCAACCCAAGGACUAGGCAACGCUAGCAUCUGUUUCUGGGAGAGGAAACCUGAAGCCCAGAGAAGUAAAGGCACUUGCCCACGAGCACACAGCCAGGCCUGGCAGAGCUAAGAUUCAGACCCAGGGCUCAGGCUCUGAGAGCUUCUUGCUGUAUGCACUACCUGGGCCGACUCCUCCAGAGCAGACCCUUUGUGUCCCCUAUCUUAUGGGACCAUGCCGUCAGGAGGCAGCUGGCCAGGCCUCCUUGUGCCUCUCCGAGAGGCCACCUGGAGAGAAGAGGCCAGGCUGGGCUCAGGCAACAGCGGGAGCCCACUGGACUCCUUCAGUGUCCAAUCACCCUUCCCCAGUCCCCAAGGCCACCUCUCUGCCUUGGUUUCCUCCUCGCUCCUGCACCCUGCCCUGCCAAUCUCCAUCUGCCUCUGCUCACAGCUCCCUCCGCCUGGAGAACUCUUCUACAGAUGGCUCCAGGUCUCGGUUCCACUGCUGCCUCCUCCAGAAGCCCUCCCUGACCACCUGCCCCUCUGCUGUUUUCUCCCUCCCUGUAACUGUCUGGAGAUUCUGCUGGCUGACUCGUCUGCCUCGUCACCCAUGGGGGCCCCCAGAGGGAGCUGCGCCUCAUCCUCCCCGACUUACCACGAGCUGGGCGCUCCUCUGCAGUUCCAAGGCCUGGGCCGCCUGCUGCUGCAGGUACAGGAACUCCUGCUGCCGCAGGAAGUGCUGCUGUGAGAAGAGCUGCAGCUGCUGGGCGUGGUGCAGGGGGCUGCGGCCCGGCGGGUACAGGGCGGGCCAGAGGGGCGGUACGGUGGCCCGCUCCAUCAGCUCCGCUGCAGGGACAGAGACAGUGCGCUGCACCUGCGGCCUGAUGCUCCACCACCAUGCCCAUUACGAGGGGAAGCUGAAGCCAGAGAGGGGCCACACCCACACAGUGGGGAGCUGGGCUCUCUGCGGGCCCCCGGCUGCUCCCCAGGGGCCAGGAAGUUUGUCCUGUCCUCCAUGGGCCACGUGUGCACCCCAGGCCCGGGGAACACAGCCCUGUCCACACCCGGGGUGGGAUGUUCCCACAGCCUCGCAACCAGAGCAGGUCAGCACGCAGACACGUACGAGGACCACUGUGAGGACCUAGGGAACGCCUUCUCCCACCCCUCCCAGUGGUCUACAAGGUGGAUUCCUGGGGAGGCGGUGGCGCCAGGUAAGGGGAAUCCCAGCCCCCACCCAGGGCUGCCUGUCUCGCUUCUCUUUAUGGAGUUUUUGGGCAGGAGCUCAUUGCAACAAGGACCCCAAGGCUUUAC
rnacentral:lncRNA from 1 species